GUCCAUCAUCCUUGCAUGCGCUACACACUCAAAAGCAUUGAUAAAUGCUGAAUUUAAAAGAAUCACUACUGUCUUAUGUUCCUGCGUGUCACCUGGACCUCCAAUCCACAAACCUGAUGAAACUCUUCUAUCAGAAAGGAGGACAGCUAGCAAAAAGACUUCAAACAAUUAAUGAUCAAAUGACAGAAGGCAUGGAUGAAGUCAGCAUCAGUGUGGUCACUUGAAGACACCAAUGUUGGGAUUUGUGCUCUCAAACAACAUGCUUCUUGUGAUGAAGAAGAGGAUCUUUGUAUAGUCCUGGA